CUUCAAUACGCCCUGAAUUUUCUGAACGGUGGCGUGGAGGGAACAGAAAGCGGGGGAACCAAUUCUGGGGCUUAUUUCUAAGUAAAUUAGAAAGGAAAAACUCUCAUUUCUAGCCCGUCAGCUAACCCCGUAGGCAUUGAGGGAGGACUA
rnacentral:sRNA from 2 species